CCUACGGGCGGCAGCAGUGAGGAAUAUUGGUCAAUGGACGCAAGUCUGAACCAGCCAUGCCGCGUGCAGGAAGACGGCUCUAUGAGUUGUAAACUGCUUUUGUACGAGGGUAAACGCAGAUACGUGUAUCUGUCUGAAAGUAUCGUACGAAUAAGGAUCGGCUAACUCCGUGCCAGCAGCCGCGGUAAUACGGAGGAUUCAAGCGUUAUCCGGAUUUAUUGGGUUUAAAGGGUGCGUAGGCGGUCGGAUAAGUUAGCGGUGAAAUCCCGAGGCUCAACUUCGGAAUUGCCUCUGAUACUGUUCGGCUAGAGAGGAGUUGCGGUAGGCGGAAUGUAUGGUGUAGCGGUGAAAUGCUUAGAGAUCAUACAGAACACCGAUUGCGAAGGCAGCUUACCAGGCUACUUCUGACGUUGAGGCACGAAAGCGUGGGGAGCGAACAGGAUUAGAUACCCGGGUAGUC
rnacentral:rRNA from 1 species